rnacentral:lncRNA from 1 species
GUCAGCCUGAAGUAAUGCAGUUGUAGUUACAGUUUGUACAGAAUUUUUGGGAUACCUGAGGAUAAAAGGCGCUAUACAAAUGGCACAAUGCCUAUGUUAUAUAGGUACCAAGCAGAAGUUGGAGAGGAAAAGGAAAGUUCUUUCUGAAAAAGCAGCAAUGCUGGAAUGUGCUGUGGAGGCUCAGAUUGUUUUUCAGCUCUAGAGGCAUGUAUGAUUUCUAAUGGGAAAGAAUGAA